rnacentral:rRNA from 1 species
AUUGAACGCUGGCGGAAUGCUUUACACAUGCAAGUCGAGCGGCAGCGCGGGGGCAACCCUGGCGGCGAGCGGCGAACGGGUGAGUAAUGUAUCGGAACGUACCCUGUCGUGGGGGAUAACACAGCGAAAGCUGUGCUAAUACCGCAUACGACCUGAGGGUGAAAGCGGGGGAUCGCAAGACCUCGCGCGAUAGGAGCGGCCGAUAUCGGAUUAGCUUGUUGGUGAGGUAAAGGCUCACCAAGGCGACGAUCCGUAGCUGGUCUGAGAGGACGACCAGCCACACUGGAACUGAGACACGGUCCAGACUCCUACGGGAGGCAGCAGUGGGGAAUUUUGGGACAAUGGGGGCAACCCUGAUCCAGCCAUUCCGCGUGAGUGAAGAAGGCCUCGGGUU